UAGUCCAACAACCAAAAAAAUGUAACCACAAAAAAUUUGAUCAACUUCAAUGUUUUCUGAAAAUAACAAUAAGCUAAAAUUCCAGAUAUCCAGCAUACAUCUCACUUAAGAGGAAUGAACCUUGAGGAAUGGGUAGCACCAAUACCAGGUCUACCGUGCUUCACAGGCUUGUAUGAGAUAGAGAACUCAGCCAGGUAAUGCCCAAUCAUUUCCGGCUUGAUUUCAACCUGAUUAAAGGUCUUGCCAUUGUACACUCCAAUAAUGCUUCCAAUCAUUUCAGGAACAAUGAUCAUGUUUCGCAAAUGGGUGCGAACUGGUUCAGGCUUCUCACCAGGCGGAGCCU
rnacentral:lncRNA from 1 species